rnacentral:rRNA from 1 species
CAAUAGCGUAUAUUAAAGUUGUUGCGGUUAAAAAGCUCGUAGUUGGAUCUCGGCAGGCAGGGGGUGGUUCGCUCUUAGCGCUACUGCCCCAUUUGCCUGUGUGAUUGGCGGAGGUUUCGGGGUGCUCUUCGUUGAGUGACCCGGGGCGCCGUCAGGUUUACUUUGAAAAAAUUAGAGUGCUCAAAGCAGGCUUUUCACGCUUGAAUAUUCGUGCAUGGAAUAAUGGAAUAGGAACUCGUUUCUAUUAUGUUGGUUUUCGGAAAUCGAGUUAAUGAUUAAUAGGGACAAUUGGGGGCAUUAGUAUUCAGACGACAGAGGUGAAAUUCUUGGACCGUCUGAAGACUAACUACUGCGAAAGCAUUUGCCAAGAGUGUUUUCAUUAA